AGAACGACUCUCGGCAACGGAUAUCUCGGCUCUUGCAUCGAUGAAGAACGUAGCGAAAUGCGAUACUUGGUGUGAAUUGCAGAAUCCCGUGAACCAUCGAGUCUUUGAACGCAAGUUGCGCCCCAAGCCUUCGGGCCGAGGGCACGUCUGCCUGGGUGUCACGC
rnacentral:rRNA from 1 species